rnacentral:rRNA from 1 species
UACAGAGGGUGCAAGCGUUAAUCGGAAUUACUGGGCGUAAAGCGUGCGUAGACGGUUACGUAAGUCAGAUGUGAAAGCCCCGGGCUCAACCUGGGAAUGGCAUUUGAGACUGCGUAGCUAGGGUGCGGAAGAGGGAAGCGGAAUUUCCGGUGUAGCGGUGAAAUGCGUAGAUAUCGGAAGGAACACCAGUGGCGAAAGCGGCUUCCUGGUCCAGCACCGACGUUCAGGCACGAAAGCGUGGGGAGCAAACAGG